rnacentral:rRNA from 1 species
GACGAACGCUGGCGGCGUGCUUAACACAUGCAAGUCGAACGGAAAGGCCCUGCUUUUGUGGGGUGCUCGAGUGGCGAACGGGUGAGUAACACGUGAGUAACCUGCCCUUCACUUUGGGAUAACUUCAGGAAACUUGGGCUAAUACCGGAUAGGAGCUCCUACUUCAUGGUGGGGGUUGGAAAGUUUCGGCGGCUGGUGAUGGACUCGCGGCUUAUCAGCUUGUUGGUGGGGUAGUGGCUUACCAAGGCUUUGACGGGUAGCCGGCCUGAGAGGGUGACCGGACAAAUGAGGACUGAGAUAAGACCCAGACUACUACGGGAGGCAGCGGUGGAGAAUAUUGCACAAGGGGCGGAAGCAAGAUGCAGCAACGCCGCGUGCGGGAUGACGGGAAGCGGGUAGGAAACCGAUGUCGCCUGUGACGAAACGUGAGUGACGGUAAUGGGUAAAGAAGCACCGGCUAACUACGUG